rnacentral:rRNA from 1 species
AUGGACGUCAAGUCGGCGUUUCUCAACGGCGACCUUAACGAGGAGGUGUACGUCUCCCAGCCAUCAGGGUUUAGUGCCAAGAACCACAAGGAGGGCGUGUACAGGCUACACAAGGCCAUGUACGGUCUCCGGCAAGCCCCAAGGGCGUGGAACACCAAGCUUGAUGCAAGCCUUGCAUCCCUUGGGUUCUCACGCAGCGCUUCUGAGCACGCCGUGUACUCGUGUGGCACCGCGAACACGCUGCUCAUCAUCGGCAUCUAUGUCGACGACCUGGUCAUCGCCGGGGCAGAGCCCGAAGAGGUUCGACGCUUCAAGGGAGAGAUGCAUCGUCUCUUCAGCAUGAGCGACCUUGGGCUGCUCUGGUACUACCUCGGGCUAGAGGUGAACCAGGAGGGUGGUCGCAUCAUGAUCAUGCAGACGGCCUACGCCACCAAGAUGCUUGAGCGAGCAGGCAUGAAGGACUGCCAUGCCGUGCACGCUCCAAUGGAGGCACGAUUGAAGCUCAACAAGGAUACCUCCAAGAAGGUGAUGGAUGCUACACUCUACCACAGCAUCAUCGGGAGCCUCAGGUACCUCGUGCACACCCGAACGGACAUCACGUUCGUUGUCAGAUACCUGAGUAGGUUCAUGGAAGCUUCGGCAAGCGAUCACCUCGCUGCCGUCAAGCACCUGCUCCGGUACAUCGCCGGAAUGCUCACGCAUGGAUGCGUGUAUCAUCGUGGUGACAGCGAGAGCUUGGUCGGGUACAGCGACUCCGACCACGCUAGUGACAUGGACUCCCGAAAGAGCACCUCGGGCAUUCUAUUCCUUCUCGGGAAUAGUCCCGUCAGCUGGCAAUCGGUGAGGCAGAAGGUUGUCGCCGUAUCUUCGUGCGAGGCGGAGUACAUCGCGGCAGCUACAGCGGCCUGUCAAGGCAUUUGGCUUGCUCGCCUUCUCGGCGAGAUGCUGAAUUAG